GGUCUGAGAGGAUGAUCAGUCACACUGGAACUGAGACACGGUCCAGACUCCUACGGGAGGCAGCAGUGGGGAAUAUUGGACAAUGGGCGCAAGCCUGAUCCAGCCAUGCCGCGUGUGUGAAGAAGGUCUUCGGAUUGUAAAGCACUUUAAGUUGGGAGGAAGGGCAGUAAGUUAAUACCUUGCUGUUUGACGUUACCAACAGAAUAAGCACCGGCUAACUUCGUGCCAGCAGCCGCGGUAAUACGAAGGGUGCAAGCGUUAAUCGGAAUUACUGGGCGUAAAGCGCGCGUAAGUGGUUCAGCAAGUUGGAUGUGAAAUCCCGGGGCUCAACCUGGGAACUGCAUCCAAAAGCUA
rnacentral:rRNA from 1 species